rnacentral:rRNA from 1 species
CCUACGGGAGGCUGCAGUGGGGAAUUUUGCGCAAUGGGGGAAACCCUGACGCAGCGACGCCGCGUGAGCGAAGAAGGCCUUCGGGUCGUAAAGCUCAGUCAUUGGGGAUGAAAAGGACAGUACCCAAGGAGGAAGCCCCGGCUAACUACGUGCCAGCAGCCGCGGUAAUACGUAGGGGGCGAGCGUUGUCCGGAAUUACUGGGUGUAAAGGGCGUGUAGGCGGGGAUGCAAGUUACCGGUAAAAACCCGAGGCUCAACCACGGGCUUGCCGAUAAAACUGUGUCUCUUGAGUAUAGGAGAGGGAAAUGGAAUUCCCGGAGUAGCGGUGAAAUGCGUAGAUACCGGGAGGAACACCAGUGGCGAAGGCGGUUUCCUGGCCUAUCACUGACGCUGAGGCGCGAAAGCUAGGGUAGCGAACGGGAUUAGAUACCCGAGUAGUC